rnacentral:rRNA from 1 species
GUCUUGGUCAUUUAGAGGAAGUAAAAGUCGUAACAAGGUUUCCGUAGGUGAACUGCGGAAGGAUCAUUAUCGAAAUUAUUGGUGAGGGUUGUAGCUGGCCUUUCGAGGCAUGUGCACGCUCGAGCCCUUAAUCCACUUUACACCUGUGCACUUAAUGUAGGUCGCCCUUAAAAAAGGUGACCUAUGUCUUAUCAUCAACCCAUCGUAUGUCUCAUAGAAUGUAAUCGAUAUCCUCGCCCUAAAAAAGCGUUGAUAAACUUAUACAACUUUCAACAACGGAUCUCUUGGCUCUCGCAUCGAUGAAGAACGCAGCGAAAUGCGAUAAGUAAUGUGAAUUGCAGAUUUUCAGUGAAUCAUCGAAUCUUUGAACGCACCUUGCGCUCCUUGGUAUUCCGAGGAGCAUGCCUGUUUGAGUGUCAUUAAAUUCUCAACUCCAAGGGUUUCACGACCUUUCGGAGAUUGGACUUGGAGGUGCUGGCCGCAUAUUGGUCGGCUCCUCUCAAAUGCAUCAGCGGAAUUCAACCUUUGGCUUCCGGAUGUCAGUGUGAUAAUCAUGUUGCGCUGUCGUUUGAUCCCUCAGAGUCCGCUUAUAAUGGUCUUCGGACAAAAUCAUCAUCAAAUUUGACCUCAAAUCAGGUAGGACUACCCGCUGAACUUAAGCAUAUCAAUAAGCGGAGGA